rnacentral:lncRNA from 1 species
CUACGCGCUUAAGAGAGCAGUAAGCCACGUAGCACUCAGUUCAAGACAAGACCGCGAGGCGCCGCGCGCCCGCAUCCUGCUCUCAUUUUGGUUUCUUGGCGGUCACACCGCGCGCAAGCACAAGUAAGCAUUCGGGUACUCUACCUGGAGAUUACCAAGCCAUUAGCCGGGGCCUCUCAGGCUCCGCGCUAGCGUUCAAGGAUUAGCUUCACCGGCCCGACGGGGUUGCGCUACAGCAAGCUACUUCCAGCCUCCCAGACGUCAUUGCACACCGGUUCUAUUGCUUAGGUGUUGCGAGACAUUCUUCAGUUCUGCUUGGGUGACGAGAGUUGCGGGCGAAUUGCUGCACGUUACGGAGCAAGCAUCGUGAUAGGCCAUCACGCCUGUUUGUUUCAGAGCUGCUGCAUAUUAACCAGCUUCCUACGCCACACCUUUUGACUUUCUUCGCAGUGGGCAGAGAGGACCGAGAAGCUGCUCCAGCUACGUCGUCUCACGACCGUCCCUCUGGCUCACGAACCGUCUCACGGGAACGCGUCACUUGGGACCCUCCCAAGCAUCUGCAGCAGGCACGAG